rnacentral:rRNA from 1 species
ACGCUGCUUGACGUCAAGUCGUGCACGGGGGAGAUCAUCCUGUUCUUCCUCAACGGCGAGGCGUACCUGGGGCCCGGGUGCUGCCGCGCCAUCUGCGUCAUCGAGCAGCGCUGCUGGGCCGCCGACCUCAUGCUGUCCGUCAUCGGGUUCACCCCGGAGGAGGGGGACAUGCUCAAGGGCUACUGCGACGCGGGCGACGACGGCGGCGAGGGGCAUCAUCAUGGCGUCGGCGGGUCAUCUCCGGCCCCGCCGCCUCACCGUGCUCUUGACGGCGUCGCGAGUGGCGGCACAGCGGUGCCCGUGGCCGGAAGGAAAGGGCUUGGUGCGCCGUUAGAUGGUUAA